UAGGGAAUCUUCGGCAAUGGACGAAAGUCUGACCGAGCAACGCCGCGUGAGUGAAGAAGGUUUUCGGAUCGUAAAACUCUGUUGUUAGAGAAGAACAAGGACGUUAGUAACUGAACGUCCCCUGACGGUAUCUAACCAGAAAGCCACGGCUAACUAAGUGCCAGCAGCCGCGGUAAUACGUAGGUGGCAAGCGUUGUCCGGAUUUAUUGGGCGUAAAGCGAGCGCAGGCGGUUUCUUAAGUCUGAUGUGAAAGCCCCCGGCUCAACCGGGGAGGGUCAUUGGAAACUGGAUGACUUGAGUGCAGAAGAGGAGAGUGUAAUUCCAUGUGUAGCGGUGAAAUGCGUAGAUAUAUGGAGGAACCCCAGUGGCGAAGGCGGCUCUCUUGUCUGUAACUGACGCUGAGGCUCGAAAGCGUGGGGAACAAACAGG
rnacentral:rRNA from 1 species